UACAGAGGGUGCGAGCGUUGUCCGGAAUUACUGGGCGUAAAGGGUGCGUAGGCGGUUCGUUAAGUCUGUCGUGAAAUCCCCGGGCUCAACCUGGGAAUGGCGAUGGAUACUGGCGAGCUAGAGUGUGUCAGUGGAUGGUGGAAUUCCCGGUGUAGCGGUGAAAUGCGUAGAGAUCGGGAGGAACAUCAGUGGCGAAGGCGGCCAUCUGGGACAACACUGACGCUGAAGCACGAAAGCGUGGGGAGCAAACAGG
rnacentral:rRNA from 1 species